rnacentral:rRNA from 1 species
AGCGAACGCUGGCGGCGUGCCUAACACAUGCAAGUCGAACGUGAAAGGGAGCAAUCCUGAGUAAAGUGGCGUACGGGUGAGUAACGCGUAGAUAAUCUAACCUAAAGCCUGGAAUAACCGGCCGAAAGGCUGGCUAAUACUGGAUAGAGCGCAGAAUUCGUAAGAGGGUGUUUCGGGAAGGGGAGGAAGGAAUUCCCUUCACUUUAGGAUGAGCCGGCGUCCCAUCAGCUAGUUGGUGAGGUAAUAGCUUACCAAGGCAAUGACGGGUAGCUGGUCUGAGAGGAUGAGCAGCCACACUGGAACUGAAACACGGUCCAGACUCCUACGGGAGGCAGCAGUGGGGAAUCUUGCGCAAUGGACGAUAGUCUGACGCAGCAACGCCGCGUGAGUGAAGAAGGCCUUAGGGUUGUAAAGCUCUGUCGCCCGGGACGAAAAAUUAUUAGGUGAAUAGCCUAGUAAUCUGACGGUACCGGGAAAGGAAGCACCGGCUAACUCCGUGCCAGCAGCCGCAGUAA